rnacentral:tRNA from 1 species
GGUCCAGUAGUUCAGUUGGUAGAACGUCUCCCUUUCAUGGAGAUAGUCGCCGGUUCGAGUCCGGUCUGGUCCG